GCAUAUCAAUAAGCGGAGGAAAAGAAACCAACAGGGAUUGCCCUAGUAACGGCGAGUGAAGCGGCAACAGCUCAAAUUUGAAAUCUGGCUUCGGCCCGAGUUGUAAUUUGUAGAGGAUGCUUUUGGUGCGGUGCCUUCUGAGUUCCCUGGAACGGGACGCCAUAGAGGGUGAGAGCCCCGUAUAGUUGGACACCAAGCCUUUGUAAAGCUCCUUCGACGAGUCGAGUAGUUUGGGAAUGCUGCUCAAAAUGGGAGGUAAAUUUCUUCUAAAGCUAAAUACCGGCCAGAGACCGAUAGCGCACAAGUAGAGUGAUCGAAAGAUGAAAAGCACUUUGAAAAGAGGGUUAAAUAGCACGUGAAAUUGUUGAAAGGGAAGCGCUUAUGACCAGACUUGUUCCAGGUUGAUCAUCCAGUGUUCUCACUGGUGCACUCUGCCUGGAUCAGGCCAGCGUCGGUUUUCGUAGGGGGAUAAAGACUUCGGGAAUGUGGCUCCUCCGGGAGUGUUAUAGCCCGUUGUAUAAUACCCUUAUGGGGACCGAGGUACGCGCUCUGCAAGGACGCUGGCGUAAUGGUCAUCAGCGACCCGUCUUGAAACACGGAC
rnacentral:sRNA from 1 species